rnacentral:misc_RNA from 1 species
CCAUGGGAGUUGGUUUUACCUGAAGACGGUGCGCUAACCGAAAGGGGGCAGCCGGCCACGGUAGGGUCAGCGACUGGGGUGAAGUCGUAACAAGGUAGCCGUAGGGGAACCUGCGGCUGGAUCACCUCCUUUCUAAGGAUGAUCCUUCAGAUCAGCUCACGCUAUCUAUCGGAUCGUUUUAGAAACAUUCAGGGGCCAACAGUUUCAGGAUUGUUGAGCUCCAUUGGCGGGAUUUCGCCGUCUUCGUUUCUCUUUCUUCGCGGACGAACACGCGCCAGGGGCUGAGCGCUGUGCGAUGUACCGACUUUAGGUCGAGUGCGCGCCGGCAUGUCUCUCGUGUUAGGGGCUUGUAGCUCAGUUGGUUAGAGCGCGCGCUUGAUAAGCGUGAGGUCGGAAGUUCAAGUCUUCCCAGGCCCACCAUUUUGAUCGAGUGCGGAGCAUUCGUCUUCUGGUACGGGGCCAUAGCUCAGCUGGGAGAGCGCGUGCUUUGCAAGCAUGAGGUCGUCGGUUCGAUCCCGUCUGGCUCCACCAGAUGGAAUUGAAGCUCGAUAGCGCCUCGUUCAUUUCGUCCGCGAAACAUCACUUCGCACUCAUUGGUCCGGAUGGACGGUGACGUGCGUGUUUUCUGACAUCGUAAAGAGGAGAUCGAUCCGAGUUUGGGAUCAAGCGAAGCAAUUCGCCUGAGCCAUUCAUUAUCUCCGGGAUCAUUUCGGCGCUCGCUUCAAUCGUGAGAUUGGAUGCGGGUUGUAAAUGGUCCCUUUUAGCGAAGCUUGACCGCCUCGCUAUCGGGUCGAUCUUACGAAGCAAGCUGGUCUUUCUAGUCAAUGUCCGGCUGCGCAAUCGCAUUCAUCGAAGAUGCGUGCCUGAGACUUCGGUCUUCCGGGUUUUAGAAACAUCAGUGGCCAACGAUCGUCAGGAUUGUUGAGCUGCAUUGGCGGGAUUUCGCCGUCUUCGUUUCUCUUUCUUCGCGGACGAACACGCGCCAGGGGCUAAAGCGCUGUGCGAUGCAUCGGCGCGAGCCGAUUACGCGCGCGCAUGUCCCUGAUCCUCAUCGGAGGAAGCGUUAGGGGCUUGUAGCUCAGUUGGUUAGAGCGCGCGCUUGAUAAGCGUGAGGUCGGAAGUUCAAGUCUUCCCAGGCCCACCAGCCUUCGCUGGCUUCGCCAGCUACGGCUAGGCAAGCCGGGUGGAGAGCGAAGGCUGCCACGUCGUAGCUCGAAGAGCGAAGACGGGCGCUAAGAACGCAGCAUUCGUCUUCUGGUACGGGGCCAUAGCUCAGCUGGGAGAGCGCGUGCUUUGCAAGCAUGAGGUCGUCGGUUCGAUCCCGUCUGGCUCCACCAGAUGAAAUCGAAGAUCGAGAGUGCCUCGAAUAUUUCGUCCGCGAAACAUCACUUCGCACGCGCUUGUCCGGAUGGACUGCGACGUGCGUGAUAUCUGACAUCGUAAAGAGGAGAUCGAUCCGAGUUUGGAUCAAGCGAAGCAAUUCGCCUGAUUCAAUCACUAUCUCCGGGAUCAUUUCGGCGCUCGCCCAUCGCAAGAUGAGUGAGUUGUAAAUGGUCCUCGUUAGCGAAGCUUGACCGCCUCGCUAUCGGUUCGAUCUUACGAAGCAAGCUGGUCUUUCUA